rfam:Schistosoma mansoni strain Puerto Rico chromosome 6, complete genome
AUCCAGCCGACGAGUCUCAAAUAAGACGGGACGCGCGUUCUGGUU